rnacentral:misc_RNA from 1 species
AACCUUAUGGACCUGCGGGCGUAUACCUGCGGAAGGAUCAUUACCGAGUUUACAACUCCCAAACCCCUGUGAACAUACCAAUUGUUGCCUCGGCGGAUCAGCCCGCUCCCGGUAAAACGGGACGGCCCGCCAGAGGACCCCUAAACUCUGUUUCUAUAUGUAACUUCUGAGUAAAACCAUAAAUAAAUCAAAACUUUCAGCAAUGGAUCU